rnacentral:other from 1 species
CGAAUCCUAAGAUGUUCGAUUGAAAUGUUAUUUUACGCUUUUGACCGAACAAUAUAUCGUUGGGAGCUUCUUAUUACCGCUGUAGCAAACAUGCCCCAUUAGUUUUUACGGAGCGGGAAGUUUAACGCAGUGACUAGGGCACCCACCUACAAGAAUGUGGGAUCAAAACGAUGUUGGUAACAUAACGGCAUAAUUGGGAUUCGU